GGAAUUACAUGUGCAGAUAUUCUGCGUGCAGAUCUGCACUAUUUUUUCCAGCCAAAACACAUGUGCAGUAAAUUUUGACAAUCAGCUGAUUGCAAUAAAUAAUUGAAAUUGAAAUUUAAAAAUUUUAAAAUGGAAGUGGAAAGAAAAAAAAUAUUGCAACAAUUGCUUUUACUUCUAGUUGCCAAAAAGAAAUUAAUUAAUAUUUUAAGCUUGUGCGCGAUAAGUGAUAAAAAAACACGGGUGUGGACGAUUCCUAUAUAUGCGGAAAAUGAGAGAGAGCUGCAUAGUUUUUUCAAUCAUUUAUUCAUCUAUAUAAAAACAAUGAUUCCUCUCAGUUUCAAAAGGCUACUCGGAUGCAAGUGGAUCAAUUUAAGCUUCUUCUAAGCUUAAUUAAAAGGCGUAUAGAAAAACAGUUUCAUAUACGUCGUCCAAUACCAGCAGAAUGUCGCCUGGCAAUAACAUUAGUAUAUUUGGCCCAUGGAGUUUGCCGCCAGAUGUUGGCUUGGGCUUUUCGAGUAGGAGUAUCAACAAACAUCCGCAGCCAUUUGGGAUGAACUUUCAGGAAUAUAUUUGGCGCAACCAAAUGAACAUGAGUGGAGGGAAAUAGCCGAUUCAUUUUACAUCAAGACAGGAAUGCCUCAUGUUGUAGGAGCUGUUGACGGCAAACAUGUCCAAAUCAAGUGUCCGCGAAAAUCCGGAUCACUGUAUUUUAAUUAUAAGCAAUAUUUUAGUAUUGUGUUGUUAGCCGUUUGUGAUAGCAAAUAUACAUUCACCGCAGUAGA